rnacentral:misc_RNA from 1 species
GUGGGAGGGGGCUUGUCCCCGAUGAGGGAGUGUCAGUCACUUAUUUUUUAACUGACCCGGCGCUAUCGGGGGCAAGCCCCCUCCCAC